rnacentral:rRNA from 1 species
UACGUAGGGGGCAAGCGUUGUCCGGAAUGACUGGGCGUAAAGGGGGUGUAGGCGGCUCAUCAAGUUAGAUGUGAAAUCCCGCGGCUUAACCGCGGAACUGCAUCUAAAACUGGUAAGCUGGAGUGCAGGAGAGGUGAGUGGAAUUCCUAGUGUAGCGGUGAAAUGCAUAGAUAUUAGGAGGAACACCAGUGGCGAAGGCGGCUUACUGGACUGUAACUGACACUGAGGCUCGAAAGCGUGGGGAGCAAACAGG